rnacentral:lncRNA from 1 species
GGAAUAAGAGCGGCCAUAGCUACACUACCAUAUGAGAGUAUGAAUUUCAAAGUAUAGAAUAAUGGCAAAAGUUUUAUAAUGCAUAAAUGGCAAAAGUUUUAUGAUGCAUAAAUGGCAAAAGUUUUAUGAUGCAUAAAUGGCAAAAGUUUUAUGAUGCAUAAUUGGCAAAGGUUUUAAGAUGCAUAAAUGGCAAAAGUUUUAUGAUGCAUAAAUGGCAAAAGUUUUAUGAUGUAUAAUCAUAUUUAUGAAGUUGCAUAAAUGGACUUGCAUAGUUUUAUGACUGGUUGGAUUAUAUGAAAUAUUUACUUUAUUACAAGCACAGAUUUCAAAGCAUGAAUAAUGACAGCACAGCUUUCAAAGCAUGAAUAAUGAUAAGUACGGAUUUCAAAGCAAGAAUAAUGAUGAGUACGGAUUUCAAAGUAUGGAAUAAAGACAAGUUUUAAGUCUGGUUCGAUUAUAUGUUGUAUAAAGUGUUUACUUUAUUACAACCUUUAGUUUCUUAAAAUAAUGCACUAGUAUGAAGAAUAUUAUGCUUGAUCCGAUAAGAUUAUGCUUGUUUACUUACUGGGCUUUAUAGCUCACAUUAUUCUAUUUAUAUCUUUACAGAUGAAUAGGAGAUGCUAGGAACAAGGAGCGUAACAUGCUCCAGGGUUAUGGGAAAGAUGAAUGUUAAAUGUUGAUAUUGUUUUUAGAAGCUUUGUAUGGAUUUUAAUACAUGAACAUUUAAUAACUUUCAUGAAUAUAGUUGUUUACAAUUUGAAGAUUUAAAGUGGCUGCAUGUUAUUGUAUGCUUAACUUGGCAAUAACACGGCCGUGUCAUGAACCGAAUUCGGGGCGUGACAAGUUGUACCAAGGAUUUUAUAAUUUAAGAUUAUGUUAUUAG